rnacentral:lncRNA from 1 species
GCUAGUGAUACGCAGUAUGAUGCUCUCUCCAGAUGCUGGGCAGUCAGCCAGGGUAUCAUCAGGAUAAACCACCAACAUUCUUCAGCGUGCAGUGUUGUCAGAUAAUUCUGCCCAGCUGCAGGCUAAUGCAAGUGUCCUGAGGAUGUUCAAGAGCAAGAAACUCCAUGUGGUAGAUAGAAUCAUCGUGGUUCUUCAUGGCCUGGCUAGAUGUGUGGAUCUUUCCCAAAAGGAAAGGAUCCUGAUUUUUGGAGACUCCAGAAAGGGACUUCUACUUCUCAGUGACCUGGUAAUUACAUUGAGUUUAUAUGUUCACUUUGUUGAAGGCACUCAUCCCACUGCAAGAUUUCUGUAAGACCUCUUAUUUGUUCUCUCUCUAAAUGUGACCCACAACGGUAUCAUCUAAUCAGUUGGGAGGUAUAUCCCAAACUCAUUAAACUAUUAAUAAGUUCCUUGUCUUUAUGGUUGCCCUUACUUAAAAUAUAAACUAAAACUGUUUAAAGCUUAUGUCUACAAAGUCAUUUCUCAUUAAAAUUUCCCUGUGCUUUCUUCAUUGUGAUCAAAGGGAUUUGAGUUAAAGUAGGAAUGCACGGAGGACACUUAAUUGUCUUUUUAGUUCCAAACUGACACAUCUUACCCAAAUUUUUUAUUAACUCAUGGCCUUGGUCCUUAAAUUCAGAUGGAAAACUCACUUCCAAUAGAGCAUAUUCAAAAUUAAUCUCUCUGUAACUUUUGAUGAAUAUUCUUUUUCCUCUUGUGUUUGCUUCUUUACCAUGGUCUGUUUUUAUUAUUAGGUUUUACAAGAAUAUUAUAUUUUUCUUGAUCCAAUUUUUGAAUUAUUUGGACCAUGUGUUUUAGAAUUUUUCUCUAUCACAAAUGUGAAAAUAAACCUGUGGGUAUUAUGUACCCACAAAAAGUUAAAAUGAAAACAUUUUUUAAAAUAAAAUUGUGGGUAAAAAGCAAAGUAAAAAAAAAUACAUGAAAUCGGAUUCAAGUCUUAAAAUAUAUGUAUUAAAAAAUAAAGUGAUCUAUAACUCCUUAUUUCUGAGUUGAAACUGAGAAAAUGUAAAAAUAAAAAAUAAAAUAUUUGAUUAAUCUAUUGACUUUGAGUGUCUUC